AACGAACGCUGGCGGCAGGCUUAACACAUGCAAGUCGAGCGCCCCGCAAGGGGAGCGGCAGACGGGUGAGUAACGCGUGGGAAUCUACCCAUCUCUACGGAAUAACGCAUGGAAACGUGUGCUAAUACCGUAUACGUCCUUCGGGAGAAAGAUUUAUCGGAGAUGGAUGAGCCCGCGUUGGAUUAGCUAGUCGGUGGGGUAAAGGCCUACCAAGGCGACGAUCCAUAGCUGGUCUGAGAGGAUGAUCAGCCACACUGGGACUGAGACACGGCCCAGACUCCUGCGGGAGGCAGCAGUGGGGAAUAUUGGACAAUGGGCGCAAGCCUGAUCCAGCCAUGCCGCGUGAGUGAUGAAGGCCCUAGGGUUGUAAAACUCUUUCACCGGUGAAGAUAAUGACGGUAACCGGAGAAGAAGCCCCGGCUAACUUCGUGCCAGCCGCCGCCGUAAAAC
rnacentral:rRNA from 1 species